AAGUCGUAACAAGGUUUCCGUAGGUGAACCUGCGGAAGGAUCAUUAAUACGCUUUUGUUUGUAACAAAACAAAACGUUUUAAACUCCAAAAGAAAUAGUGGAAAUAUAACUUCCGGAUGCGAAUGUUGGGAACUGAGUAAAAUCGGUUCUUUGGAAAGGGACUUCAAGCAAUUGACACUUCAGAGUAGAGCAGUGAGGUGAAAUUCUCUUUAUGAGAGUUUGGUUCUGAAAAACAUUUGUAUCCGGUUAUGAUAAUCUGUUCUACAAGUUCUAUCAAACAAUAAACCCCAUGUACAACAACUUGAACUAAACAUUUUUUUGUUAUCUACUUGCACACUUGUUGUGUGAGAAGCUACAAAGAAAAAACCUGAACUUAAGAACAACUCUUAACAACGGAUAUCUUGGUUCUC
rnacentral:misc_RNA from 1 species